rnacentral:rRNA from 1 species
UACAGGGGUCUCGAGCGUUAAUCGGAAUCACUGGGCUUAAAGGGUGCGUAGGCUGAUCGGAACGCGUCCUGUGAAAUCCCCCGGCUCAACCGGGGAACUGCGGGGCGAACGGACGAUCUUGAGGCAUGUAGGGGCGGGCAGAACAGUAGGUGGAGCGGUGAAAUGCGUAGAUAUCUACUGGAAUGCCGAUGGUGAAGACGGCCCGCUGGGCAUGUCCUGACGCUGAGGCACGAAAGCGUGGGGAGCAAACAGG